rnacentral:rRNA from 1 species
AAAACUUUCAACAACGGAUCUCUUGGUUCUGGCAUCGAUGAAGAACGCAGCGAAAUGCGAUACGUAAUGUGAAUUGCAGACACCGUGAAUCAUCGAAUCUUUGAACGCACAUUGCGCCCUUUGGUAUUCCGAAGGGCAUGCCUGUUCGAGCGUCAUU